GAUGAAGAACGCAGCGAAAUGCGAUACGUAGUGUGAAUUGCAGAAUUCAGUGAAUCAUCGAAUCUUUGAACGCACAUUGCACCUCUCGGUAUUCCGGGAGGUAUGCCUGUUCGAGCGUCAUUUGUACCCUCAAGCUCUGCUUGGUGUUGGGUGUUUGUUCCGCCUCUGUGUGUGAACUCGCCUCAAAACAAUUGGCAGCCGGCGUACUUGUUUCGGAGUGCAGCACAUUUUGCGAUCCAGAUCAACGUACAGCGGCAUCCAAGAAGCCUUAUUUAACGCUCUUGACCUCGGAUCAGGUAGGGAUACCCGCUGAACUUAAGCAUAUCAAUAAGCGGAGGA
rnacentral:misc_RNA from 1 species